CGAAAUGCGAUAAGUAAUGUGAAUUGCAGAAUUCAGUGAAUCAUCGAAUCUUUGAACGCACAUUGCGCCCGCCAGUAUUCUGGCGGGCAUGCCUGUCCGAGCGUCAUUUCAACCCUCGAACCCCUCCGGGGGGUCGGCGUUGGGGAUCGGCCCUGCCU
rnacentral:rRNA from 1 species